CCCCAGGGCCUGGUUCAAAACUCUGUUCUUGGACCGCUCACAAUAGUGGAAAACUCUGAAACCCAGAUCCCCAGUGAAUUUGGAAAAUAUCCUACUGUAGAACAAGUUGACUGGUUGGUGUAAUGGUCUGGAACACUUUGCUUGUCAGGGAUGGCUGUCUUUUCUGUCUCUACAGCCAUCUAAUUGUAGGUGGCCUGAAGGGUGCAUCACUAUCCCCAGUAUGGAUAUGAAGUCCUUUGACUUGAGCACGUUUCAAUAAAAUGAGUACUUUACAAUGGUGUUUGUUUCUAAUGGUUGUCAAAAUGCUUUGAUCCUGAUGAGAUGUACCCUAAAUCCAGUAGUGCGGCGCCGGUAUCUACACAAAAUAGCCAAGAUGUGACCAUCUGGUUGUAAGAAGAUGAUCUCAAUGAGAGUGCUCAGUGUUCUGGACUUCCCAGUGUCCUGAUUACUCUUGAACUGUAACACUUUCUUCUUUUGGCAUAAUUAGUUUGCUAAUGAUAGUCACAGCAGGUGUUCAUGCAAUGGUAACGCUAUUUGAAAGCUUGUCAUAAGUGAACCUGCUUAUUGUUGGCUAUACUUUUUCAGCAGUAGCCCACCCCAAGAUCAAAUUGACAAGCCAAGUUUAGAGAGGAGAGAACUGAGGCUGGAUCAACAGCAUUGUACAUAGUUACUCCACAAUACUUACCAAAAUUACAGAGUGAAGAGAAGGAAGUCUGUUCAGAAUAUAAUAUUCCAAAACA